rnacentral:rRNA from 1 species
UACGUAGGUGGCAAGCGUUGUCCGGAUUUACUGGGCGUAAAGAGCGCGCAGGCGGUCGAAUAAGUCGAAUGUGAAAGCCCCCGGCUCAACUGGGGAGGGUCAUUCGAUACUGUUCGACUUGAAGGCAGGAGAGAGAAGCAGAAUUCCCGGUGUAGUGGUGAAAUGCGUAGAUAUCGGGAGGAAUACCAGUGGCGAAGGCGGCUCACUGGACCGGAACUGACGCUGAGGCGCGAAAGCGUGGGGAGCAAACAGG